rnacentral:rRNA from 1 species
UGGGGAAUAUUGUGCAAUGGGCGAAAGCCUGACACAGCGAUGCCGCGUGAAGGAUGAAGGUUUUAGGAUUGUAAACUUCUGUUAAAUGGGAAGAAAGACGAAUUGUGAAUAGCAGUUUGGGAUGACGGUACCAUUAGAGAAAGCCCCGGCUAACUUCGUGCCAGCAGCCGCGGUAAGACGAGGGGGGCAAGCGUUAUUCGGAAUUACUGGGCGUAAAGAGCGUGUAGGUGGCUUGUUAAGUCGGAUGUUAAAUCUCACAGCCUAACUGUGAGGCGGCAUUGGAUACUGAUGAGCUAGAGGAUAAGAGAGAGAAGUGGAAUUCUCGGAGUAGCGGUUAAAUGCGUGGAUCUCGAGAGGAACACCGAUGGCGAAGGCAGCUUCUUGGCUUAUUUCUGACACU